AUGGAUUUUGAAGAGUCAAUGGAGAGCAAUUGAGGUGCUGCCGCAUCCUUGCCAGAAGUUAACGGGCCCUGACGCUGCUCAACUCAGUGCUGAGAGGCAUCAGGAGCUUCAGCUGUGCAUCCAGAGAUACCAGGACAGGCAAGGAAAUUAAGCCCUAGACUCCUUUUGGAGCCCCAAGCCCGUCACUUGAUGUUCUAAUUGAGAUGCCAAAGCCAAGCUAAGAUGCUGAACCUCUUUGGCUUGUGUUCAUUUCUGCUCAAUCCACAUAAAACAGCAGUUUCCAUUCUCCAGAAGGAAAUGGGAAGAUGUUCUGCUCGGGAUCCCAUCAGAGCGUGGCCCAGAGGAGCUGGUGCUGCUGCCAACCCUCAGCGGUGCCACAGCAGCCAGGCACCAAGAGACAGCGUGGCACUAUGAGCAUAUCCCAGCCCUCAGCCAUGCUGAGCAUGCAUGGAAAUAGCAGUGCUGCAUCUCCUGCUAACCCAGCGGGACAACAAGGGCUGCUUCACGGGGAGGUGACACAGAGGUGGCUGCAGAUGAGGCAGCUCGAGGAGAGAAGCCACCUGCCGAGGCCACCAGCUGUUCCUGUCCCAGAUCUGAGCCAAACUGUGGGUCCCAGACCCAAGAGAGCAAGGCACGGAGCUUGGAUCCAUGAACCUCUGGGAGCCAUUGGAUGGGGAACUCAACUUCAGUGCUCAGAAUGUGUGCUGGGAGGGACUGAGGAGCAGCUGUGGAGCUCUGUGUCUUACCAUCAUUAUGACUGGAGCUCAAAGUCAAACCUGGGGGCUCCAGUCCCUGAAAGAAUCGAAGGUUCCCCCGCCUGCCUCGUUAAACUCCAGCGUGAAAACCGCUCCAGUGAUUUAUGGAGAAUCAAAGCUAAAGCCCCACUCGUUUGCAGAUGUGAUGUUUGGAUUCGAGGUGUUGUUUCAAAGAAAAGUGAUGGAUCAAAACCUGGAGACGAAGUCCAGCCCAGUCCCCAGCAGCAGCCCUGA
rnacentral:lncRNA from 1 species